UGUGUGCCUGUUCUAGCAAACUAUCACGUUCCGUCUCUGGUCUUCGCGAGUGAAGAUGCCUCCUGUGAAGUUCACGUAACCGAAGCUGAUUUGGAAUGCGAAGAAAACAAGGGACGUGGAUUUGCAGUUACAUUGAAGCGGCACGGACCCACAACGUACCGCAUUGCAGAUCAUUUCAAGCACAAACUUGUUCAAGAAUUCCAAGUGCCUGAUACACCCCCGCUUGUCUCCGACAUAAGGGACGCGUGCAGCAAGCGUCCAGAGCUUACCGGUGGCAAGGGGUCGUCCCUCGCGGUGCUCCAGUCGAUCGCCAGCCAGCUG
rnacentral:lncRNA from 1 species